AUUAGCUAGUUGGUAAGGUAACGGCUUACCAAGGCAACGAUGCAUAGCCGACCUGAGAGGGUGAUCGGCCACACUGGAACUGAGACACGGUCCAGACUCCUACGGGAGGCAGCAGUAGGGAAUCUUCCGCAAUGGGCGAAAGCCUGACGGAGCAACGCCGCGUGAGUGAUGAAGGUCUUCGGAUCGUAAAACUCUGUUAUUAGGGAAGAACAUAUGUGUAAGUAACUGUGCACAUCUUGACGGUACCUAAUCAGAAAGCCACGGCUAACUACGUGCCAGCAGCCGCGGUAAUACGUAGGUGGCAAGCGUUAUCCGGAAUUAUUGGGCGUAAAGCGCGCGUAGGCGGUUUUUUAAGUCUGAUGUGAAAGCCCACGGCUCAACCGUGGAGGGUCAUUGGAAACUGGAAAACUUGAGUGCAGAAGAGGAAAGUGGAAUUCCAUGUGUAGCGGUGAAAUGCGCAGAGAUAUGGAGGAACACCAGUGGCGAAGGCGACUUUCUGGUCUGUAACUGACGCUGAUGUGCGAAAGCGUGGGGAUCAAACAGGAUUAGAUACCCUGGUAGUCCACGCCGUAAACGAUGAGUGCUAAGUGUUAGGGGGUUUCCGCCCCUUAGUGCUGCAGCUAACGCAUUAAGCACUCCGCCUGGGGAGUACGACCGCAAGGUUGAAACUCAAAGGAAUUGACGGG
rnacentral:rRNA from 1 species